UAGGGAAUAUUGCACAAUGGGCGAAAGCCUGAUGCAGCAACGCCGCGUGCGCGAUGAAGGCCUUCGGGUCGUAAAGCGCUUUUUUGGGAGAUGAGGAAGGACAGUAUCCCAAGAAUAAGGCUCGGCUAACUACGUGCCAGCAGCCGCGGUAAAACGUAGGAGCCAAGCGUUAUCCGAAUUCACUGGGCGUAAAGCGCGUGCAGGCGGCUUGGUAAGUUGGAUGUGAAAUCUCCUGGCUCAACUGGGAGAGGCCGUUCAAUACUGUCAGGCUAGAGGGCGACAGAGGAAAGUGGAAUUCCCGGUGUAGUGGUGAAAUGCGUAGAUAUCGGGAGGAACACCAGUGGCGAAGGCGACUUUCUGGGUCGCACCUGACGCUCAGACGCGAAAGCUAGGGGAGCGAACGGG
rnacentral:rRNA from 1 species